rnacentral:rRNA from 1 species
GCUCCAGACUCCUACGGGAGGCAGCAGUAGGGAAUCUUCGGCAAUGGGCGAAAGCCUGACCGAGCAACGCCGCGUGAAUGAAGAAGGCCUUCGGGUUGUAAAAUUCUGUUAUAAGGGAAGAAAGGUGAUAGGAGGAAAUGACUAUCAAUUGACGGUACCUUAUGAGAAAGCCACGGCUAACUACGUGCCAGCAGCCGCGGUAAUACGUAGGUGGCAAGCGUUAUCCGGAUUUACUGGGUGUAAAGGGCGUGUAGGCGGGAAAGCAAGUCAGAUGUGAAAACCAUGGGCUCAACCUGUGGCCUGCAUUUGAAACUGUUUUUCUUGAGUACUGGAGAGGCAGACGGAAUUCCUAGUGUAGCGGUGAAAUGCGUAGAUAUUAGGAGGAACACCAGUGGCGAAGGCGGGCUGCUGGACAGCAACUGACGCUGAGGCGCGAAAGCGUGGGGAGCAAACAGGAUUAGAUACCCCGGUAGC